UCCCUGAUAGCUCAGUUGGUAAAGAAUCUGCCUGCAAUGCAGGAGACCCAGGUUCAAUUUCUGGGUCAGGAAG
rnacentral:tRNA from 1 species